rnacentral:rRNA from 1 species
UUGGGNUCCACUUCGUGGCGCGCACACAGGUGCUCCAUGCCUGUCGUCACCUCGUGUCGUGAGAUGUUGGGUUAAGUCCCGCAACGAGCGCAACCCACGUCCUUAGUUGCCAUCAUUCAGUUGGGCACUCUAGGGAGACUNCCGGUGAUAAGCCGCGAGGAAGGUGUGGAUGACGUCAAGUCCUCAUGGCCCUUACGGGAUGGGCUACACACGUGCUACAAUGGCGGUGACAGUGGGACNCAAAGGAGCGAUCUNGAGCAAAUCCCCAAAAGCCGUCUCAGUUCGGAUUGCACUCUGCACCUUNGGUGCAAAAAGCCUG